rnacentral:rRNA from 1 species
ACGAACGCUGGCGGCAGGCUUAACACAUGCAAGUCGAACGCGUGCAGCAAUGCACGAGUGGCGCACGGGUGAGUAACGAGUGGAUAUCUGCCUUUUGGUUCGGAAUAACCCCGGGAAACUGGGGCUAAUACCGGAUGGUUCCUACGGGAUAAAGAUUUAUCGCCAAAAGAUGAGUCCGCGUCCGAUUAGCUAGUUGGUGAGGUAAUGGCUCACCAAGGCGACGAUCGGUAGCUGGUCUGAGAGGACGAUCAGCCACACUGGGACUGAGACACGGCCCAGACUCCUACGGGAGGCAGCAGUGGGGAAUAUUGGACAAUGGGGGCAACCCUGAUCCAGCCAUGCCGCGUGAGUGAUGAAGGCCUUCGGGUUGUAAAGCUCUUUUGGCGGGGACGAUGAUGACGGUACCCGCAGAAUAAGCCCCGGCUAACUUCGUG